rnacentral:rRNA from 1 species
AGUGGCAAACGGGUGAGUAACACGUAAACAACCUGCCUUCAGGAUGGGGACAACAGACGGAAACGACUGCUAAUACCGAAUACCUGAAGAGGGGUUUGCGUCUGAUUAGGUAGUUGGUGAGGUAACGGCCCACCAAGCCGACGAUCAGUAGCCGGUCUGAGAGGAUGAACGCCCACACUGGAACUGAGACACGGUCCAGACUCCUACGGGAGGCAGCAGUGGGGAAUCUUCCGCAAUGGGCGAAAGCCUGACGGAGCAACGCCGCGUGAGUGAUGACGGCCUUCGGGUUGUAAAGCUCUGUGAUCGGGGACGCGGUACCCGAAUAGCAAGCCACGGCUAACUACGUGCCAGCAGCCGCGGUAAUACGUAGGUGGCAAGCGUUGUCCGGAAUUAUUGGGCGUAAAGCGCGCGCAGGCGGUUCUUAAGUCCAUCUUAAAAGUGCGGGGCUUAACCCCGUGAUGGGAUGGAAACUGAGAGCUGGAGUAUCGGAGAGGAAAGUGGAAUUCCUAGUGUAGCGGUGAAAUGCGUA